rnacentral:rRNA from 1 species
UACGAAGGGGGCUAGCGUUGUUCGGAAUCACUGGGCGUAAAGGGCGCGUAGGCGGCUAUUCAAGUCGGGGGUGAAAGCCUGUGGCUCAACCACAGAAUUGCCUUCGAUACUGUUUGGCUUGAGACCGGAAGAGGUUAGUGGAACUGCGAGUGUAGAGGUGAAAUGCGUAGAUAUCGGGAGGAACACCAGUGGCGAAGGCGACUACCUGGCCCACUCUUGACGCUGAGGCGCGAAAGCUAGGGGAGCGAACGGG